rnacentral:rRNA from 1 species
UACGAAGGGGGCUAGCGUUGCUCGGAAUCACUGGGCGUAAAGGGUGCGUAGGCGGGUCUUUAAGUCAGGGGUGAAAUCCUGGAGCUCAACUCCAGAACUGCCUUUGAUACUGAGGAUCUUGAGUACGGGAGAGGUGAGUGGAAUUCCCAGUGUAGAGGUGAAAUUCGUAGAUAUUGGGAAGAACACCGGUGGCGAAGGCGGCUCACUGGCUCGUAUCUGACGCUCAGGCGCGACAGCGUGGGGAUCAAACAGG